CAUGUGAUCCUGGGAAGAGAGGACAUAUGAGGCUGUGUCCUAGAGUGACUGUCUGAAGAGACCCAAAGUGCUUGAAUCCCAGGAUGACGUUACAAUGCAUGUGUCAAACUGCAGCUGGGAAGAGUCAUCUGGCUGAGCAGUGAUAAGACGUCUCAGCAAUGUCCAGACACCCAGAUCCAGCCAUCCCGCAGCAAGCUCAUCUAAGCAGACAGCGGGAUAAGAGGGUUUACGUGUUUGUCCACUGAGGCAUUAGGCCCAAGAGUUCAGAAUUAGGAAUCCAUGAAUCAGUGGCUUUUACAGAGGUCCUACACCAGGUUCCCAGGACACAUAGCAGAUGGCUCACAGCUGCCUGUAAUUCCAGCUCCAGGGGAAUCCAACACCCUCUUCUGACCUUGUACACAUGCUCAUACACCCACA